rnacentral:rRNA from 1 species
GGAAUCUUGCGCAAUGGGCGAAAGCCUGACGCAGCGACGCCGCGUGAGGGAUGAAGCUUUUCGGAGUGUAAACCUCUUUCGACCCGGACGAAUGCCCGCAAGGGGUUGACGGUACGGGGAGAAGAAGCCCCGGCGAACUACGUGCCAGCAGCCGCGGUAAAACGGCGGGGGCCAGCGUUGCUCGGAAUUACUGGGCGUAAAGGGUCUGUAGGCGGUGCGGUAAGUCCGGAGUGAAAUCUCCAGGCUCAACUUGGAGGCUGCUUCGGAAACUGCCGUGCUCGAGUGUGGGAGAGGCGCGUGGAAUUGCAGGUGUAGCGGUGAAAUGCGUAGAUAUCUGCAGGAACACCAGUGGCGAAAGCGGCGCGCUGGACCACAACUGACGCUGAGAGACGAAAGCUAGGGGAGCAAACA